GCGAGGAGGAAGGACGUCCCGCGACGCUGCGCUCCGCCACGCCGCGCCGACGAGCGCUAGACGUCGCGACAACCGUGCCUCCGCGUCACGUUCGGUCACGCUCGUGACACCGUCGUCACGUCGUGACGUCACCGGAAGGAUUACCACCCAGCCAAGUGCGGGCAAGGCUGUUGUUGUUUUUGCGGUGUGUCCGCCGAGUGCCCUUACAAAGUGCUGUGCUUAAUUGGUCAUUAGUUUCUCGAUCAUGGAAACAAGCGAGUGAGUCGCCCAGUCGACUUUGAUCGAAAGUGCCCUUGUGAGUGAUUGCCAGCAAGGAUUACCCGCCUGGACCUUGGAUACGCCGCUAGGAUACCCGGCCGGGAUUAUCUCAGAUUGAGCCAGGCGGACGCGUUUUCGAGACGGGACGCCGGAACGCAGUGCAGCCAAGAUGACGCGGUCGCGGAGAUAGGCGCGUGCCGCCGCGUGCCGCGCUGUGCUGCGAGGCGGCGAGGCACCCAGGCGCCAUGGAGGGGCUGUGGG